rnacentral:tRNA from 1 species
GCCUGGCAGGCUCAGUCAGAAAAGCAUGAGACUCUUGAUCUCAGGGUUGUGAGUUCAAGCCCCAUGUGGGGUG